ACAAAUUAAAAUAGAAGAUCUCUUCAAAAAAGAGUUUCUAUCUACCACAUUUUGUGAACCUUGUAUGUCUCUGGUGUGUGAAAUGUUCAGUUUCUAUCUUUGUGAAGAACUGUAUUACGCACACCAAUAUAACAUUUUAUAAACUUUUGUUUCAAAAACUUUAAAAGCCUAAAAAAGUAGAAAUAACAAAAUUAAAAAA
rnacentral:misc_RNA from 1 species